CAGCCGCGUAUACGAAGAUUGCAGGCAAACAUUUCACCGGCAGACAUUUAAUGCGCAAUGUACACCGCUAUGUAAAAAGCACAUCUGCGUAUUUUUACGGCAGCAUGCAUAGUCUGCAUGGCGAUGAUUGUUGUUUUUCUAUAAUCUUCCAUUGCAUUUUGGUAUUUAGCUAUCCAGCUAUCUUAUUGGCUUUAAAGGAGCAUGGAAAUGAUCGGAAUAAAAUAUGACGGGAGAAGUAGAAAUUAUGAUUCUGAGCCCUGUGAUACAUAUUCGCACAAAAAGUUUGAGCGUAGCGCGCAAUCCUGGAGCGCGAGGGAGCUUUGAAUCUCGCGGCAGAAAUGCCCCCUCACUCGGCUGUCAGCCGCUGACGUCAUGUGACCGCGCCGUCUUUUUCUUUAUUUUUUGCGAUUUCUCCGGCGCGCGCUGGCAAGCCGACCGGGAAGGAAGCGUUGUUGCUCAUCGGACGCCGUGCGAAGGACAGGUGAUGAAUUGAAAACUCUUUAGGCGACACGUCUGCUCUUCUCGACGAAACGUUUUAUGGAGUUGGAGGCUAAGUUCCUCGAGCUUCGAUUUCGCCACACGAAUGUACCGGAGGCUGUCAUGAAGACGCGGCGCAGUGACCAGUGUUUUCACUUGAAGAUGUUGCCGACCAUCAUGACUUCUCUGUGUUGUGGUCAACACCAUGGGCUCUGAACCGCAUGGACACUGGCAUCUCUGAGGCGCAAGAGCGGACCGAUGAACGCAUAGCUGUGUAACAUUGCGCUUGCCAUAUGUUAGUGAUACCAGGAGCGUAACGUCUCCACAAACACUACAACAUGAAUACCAAAAUAACGUUAGUAAAGUUCAUCUGCUAGCGAUCUGUGGGAAACCCCAAAAUACAUGGUCAAAUAAUCAUUUUCUUUUUUGAAUGGUCAUACGCAGAAUACAACACUGGCACAUGGAAUAAAUCUCCAACUGACAGGAACGUAUUUAGUCGUAUCACAUAUAUAUAUGCUGCACACACAGGCACAAUACUGUUCACUAAUGAACGACACCUCAGGACAAUCGGAACAGAAAUCACAACCGCGUACGAUCCACCUCAACCCGGGCCGUCACUGCAACACAGAGGCCUGGCUACACCUUUUACACUGCCCGCAGUCUUGUUUUAUGCAAAACUUACGAGACAAAUCAUGUAAGAACGCAAGUGAAUGUCAAACGCAAAUAAAUAGCAACAGCGUCUCA